rnacentral:rRNA from 1 species
AACGAACGCUGGCGGCAUGCCUAACACAUGCAAGUCGAACGAGACCUUCGGGUCUAGUGGCGCACGGGUGCGUAACGCGUGGGAACCUGCCCUUAGGUUCGGAAUAACUCCCCGAAAGGGGUGCUAAUACCGGAUAAUGUCUUCGGACCAAAGAUUUAUCGCCUUUGGAUGGGCCCGCGUUGGAUUAGCUAGUUGGUAGGGUAAAAGCCUACCAAGGCGACGAUCCAUAGCUGGUCUGAGAGGAUGAUCAGCCACACUGGGACUGAGACACGGCCCAGACUCUUCCGGAGGGAGCCAUGGGGGAUAUUUGAAAAUUGGGCAAAGGCUUGAUCAGCCAUGGCGGCGGAGGGAAUGAGGGCUUAGGGGUGGAAAGCCUUUUUUACCGGGAUGGUUAUGGCCGUUCCGGGAGGAUUAGGCCCCGCUUACCCCCUU